rnacentral:rRNA from 1 species
UUUUAUUUAUGAUAUAAUUAUAAUUAUUUAUAAAUUUAAAAUUUUUAAUUUAAUUAUAAAUUUUAUUGGGGUGAUAGAAAAAUAAAUUUAACUUUUUUUAAUUAAUGAACAUGAAUAAGUGAUUAAAUGAUCCAAUUUUAUUGAUUAUAAGAAAAA